rnacentral:rRNA from 1 species
CACGUAGGGGGCGAGCGUUGUCCGGAUUUAUUGGGCGUAAAGAGCUCGUAGGCGGCUCGGUAAGUCAGGUGUGAAAACUCUAGGCUCAACCUAGAGACGCCACCUGAUACUGCCGUGGCUAGAGUCCGGUAGGGGAGCAUGGAAUUCCCGGUGUAGCGGUGGAAUGCGUAGAUAUCGGGAAGAACACCAGUGGCGAAGGCGGCUCGCUGGGCCGAUGCUGACGCUGAGGCGCGAAAGCGUGGGGAGCAAACAGG